rnacentral:rRNA from 1 species
GAUGAACGCUAGCGACAGGCCUAACACAUGCAAGUCGAGGGGUAACAUGGAUUGCUUGCAAUCUGAUGACGACCGGCGCACGGGUGCGUAACGCGUAUGAAACCUACCUUUUACAGGGGAAUAGCCCAGAGAAAUUUGGAUUAAUGCCCCAUGGUCUUAGAUUUUCGCAUGGGGAUCUAAGUAAAACUCCGGUGGUAAAAGAUGGUCAUGCGUGACAUUAGAUAGUUGGUGAGGUAACGGCUCACCAAGUCGACGAUGUCUAGGGGUUCUGAGAGGAAGGUCCCCCACACUGGUACUGAGACACGGACCAG